GGCGGCCGUAGCGCGGUGGUCCCACCUGACCCCAUGCCGAACUCAGAAGUGAAACGCCGUAGCGCCGAUGGUAGUGUGGGGUCUCCCCAUGUGAGAGUAGGGAACCGCCAGGU
rnacentral:rRNA from 1 species